rnacentral:sRNA from 1 species
GCCGGGUGUGGUGGUUCCCACCUGUAAUCCCAGCCGCUCGGGAGGCUGAGGCAGGAGGAUCACAAGUUCAAAGCCAGCCUCAG